UACAGAGGUCUCAAGCGUUGUUCGGAUUUAUUGGGCGUAAAGGGCGCGUAGGCGGCGUGGCAAGUCGGGUGUGAAAUCUCAGGGCUCAACCCUGAAACUGCACUUGAUACUGCUCUGCUUGAGGACUGGAGAGGAGACUGGAAUUCACGGUGUAGCAGUGAAAUGCGUAGAUAUCGUGAGGAAGACCAGUGGCGAAGGCGGGUCUCUGGACAGUUCCUGACGCUGAGGCGCGAAGGCCAGGGGAGCAAACGGG
rnacentral:rRNA from 1 species